GAGAAGUGCUAUCCGCGCUGGACUGUGCAUAAGUUCCUUGGAAAAGGGCAUCAUAGAGGGUGACAAUCCCGUCUUUGGCACAGACUCCCAGGGCUUUUGUGAUGCGCUCUCGAU
rnacentral:rRNA from 1 species